rfam:Picea glauca, whole genome shotgun sequence.
GAUCGUGUCAACGAGGGUGGUUCACCGUCGACGAUGUUGUGAGAAGUUCAUUGAACCUUAUCAUUUAGAGGAUGAAGAAGUCGUAUCAAGGUUACCAUAGAUGAACCUGUGGUAGGAUCAUUG